ACCUCACACUCCCUUCCCCCUCCCCUCUCCCACUCCCUCCACCUCCCACUCCCCUCACCCUCCCCUCACCCUCCCACUCCCACUCCCCUCACCCUCCCACUCCCACUCCCCUCACCCUCCCACUCCCCUCACCCUCCCACUCCCCUCACCCUCUCCCUCACACUCUCCCUCCACCUCACACUCCCGGGACGUUCCUCCGCCACAAAUUCUCACCAAGUCCACUCCAUCCGACGUUGCAACGCCAAGUCACCGCGGGCGGAGGCACCAGUACGCAUGCGCCGCAAUCCAGCCGGGCACAGCCCAGCGCGGGGGUCCGUGGGGUCCAUGUGCCCGUUCGGUCAACACCACCGACCUACCGCAGGCUCUUCACAAACAUUAGUUUUUCUUACAACUAGAACGAAUUGGUAUUCACAGGCUCGGCUCCAAGUCCUUCUGAAGUGUAGGCGAGGAGGGCACAAAUUAAAACAGAAAACGCUGGAAACACUCGGCAGGUCGGACAGCAUCUGUGGAGAGAGAAACAGAACCAACGACUCAGGUCAAAGACUGUGUGUUCGUGAGGUUGGGGUGGGUUAAGUACUGGUCUGGUCUCCGGGAAGAACAUUGCCACACUACAAAAUGGGGAUUUCGUUUAACUCAUCUGAAAGGUGCUACAGCAACAGGAAGUUCCUUGGGAUCACGGAUGACUUGAUUCCAGUUCUAUGGGUUCAGAGGUGGCUGAUGAGGCCAAUGUGAGACCUGCAGACUCUUCCACAAAUGGGGCAUUUCAUGCGUGUGGGAUUUUCAGGUGAUGAUCAUUUCAAAUAAGAGAAGAUCCAACCAUGACUGCAUAACGUUCAACAUCAUGGUCAAUCCAAGCCCCACCAUCACAGGCAGAGGUUGGGCCUUCAGCCCCCAACACUGCCCCACCACACGAUGCAUUAUCACUUAACUCAUCAUUGCCUCAGCAUCCUGGGGCCACCACUGUGCAAGAGAUUAUCUGGACCAGCCAUAGGAGCACAACUACAGACAUACGGCAGAUGCUGAAUGUCCUAUGGUGAGUGGUAACUUCCUCCCAAAAACCUCUACAAGAUUAAAAUCAGGGGUGUAAGCGUUCUUCCUGUGUCUGUGUGGGUUUCCUCCGGGUGCUCCGGUUUCCUCCCACAUUCCAAAGACGUACGGGUUAGGAAGUUGUGGGCAUGCUAUGUUGGCGCCGAAAGCAUGGCAACGCCUGUGGGCUGCCCCCAGAACA